AUUGAACGCUGGCGGCAGGCCUAACACAUGCAAGUCGAGCGGGGUUUUCGGACCUAGCGGCGGACGGGUGAGUAAUGCGUAGGAAGCUGCCCGAUAGAGGGGGAUACCAGUUGGAAACGACUGUUAAUACCGCAUAAUGUCUACGGACCAAAGUGUGGGACCUUCGGGCCACAUGCUAUCGGAUGCGCCUACGUGGGAUUAGCUAGUUGGUGAGGUAAUGGCUCACCAAGGCGACGGUCUCUAGCUGGUUUGAGAGGAUGAUCAGCCACACUGGAACUGAGACACGGUCCAGACUCCUACGGGAGGCAGCAGUGGGGAAUAUUGGACAAUGGGCGCAAGCCUGAUCCAGCCAUGCCGCGUGUGCGAAGAAGGCCUUCGGGUUGUAAAGCACUUUCAGCGAGGAGGAAGGGUGGUGUGUUAAUAGCACAUCAUUUUGACGUUACUCGCAGAAGAAGCACCGGCUAACUCUGUGCCAGCCGCCGCUGUAAUAC
rnacentral:rRNA from 1 species